CUGAGAUCAGAUGCCUUAGGAUGUUUAGGGUGGGAAUCACUGUGGCUUACCACGAGACACCAGGUGUGAUGUCCCCUCUGCAAGUAUGCACAGACAUUCAGUAUGCAAGUAAAAAUCAUCAUCAAGGAAAAUUUAGACGGAAGCACCUUACCACCCAACAGUCUUUUAAGCACAGAAGCAGAAUCCUACUGGAGAAGUUUGCACUAUGAGAAAAGUGACGAUAUUAAAUUGUUUCCAGGCAGGUAAAAGCCAUCACAUCUACAGAUGCGGACAAAGGUACUAAUGUCCAUGUGAUUUCCAUAGUAUUCCUAAUUAGCUUGGAAGGCACACUAGACUGACAAGAUGACUGCAAAAGAAUAAUUUUUCUACCCAAAGCAUAUAGUCUUUGGAAAAACUGUCCAGUUCCUGGUUUUCAUCUGCCUUUAAUAACUUAUUGAGCUGUUUAAAAGUAAAUCUGUGAACCAAAUUUAUUUCAAAACUAAAAAGUUAAUUUUAAAUAUGAUUUGAUGA